rnacentral:piRNA from 1 species
UUAUAAAAAGGUGCCUGUGGCUUCAAUG